rnacentral:rRNA from 1 species
CCUACGGGUGGCAGCAGUGGGGAAUAUUGCACAAUGGGGGCAACCCUGAUGCAGCGACGCCGCGUGAGUGAAGAAGUAUUUCGGUUUGUAAAGCUCUAUCAUCAGGGACGAAAUAAGACGGUACCCGACUAAUAAGCCCCGGCUAACUACGUGCCAGCAGCCGCGGUAAUACGUAGGGGGCAAGCGUUAUCCGGUGUUACUGGGUGUAAAGGGCGCGUAGGCGGGGCUGCAAGCCGGAAGUGAAAGGCAGGGGCUUAACCCCUUAACUGCUUUGGAAACUGCCAUGCUUGAGUGAUGGAGAGGCAAGUGGAAUUCCAAGUGUAGCGGUGAAAUGCGUAGAUAUUAGGAGGAACACCAGUGGCGAAGGCGGCUUACUGGACAGUAACUGACGUUGAGGCUCGAAAGCGUGGGGAGCAAACAGGAUUAGAUACCCCAGUAGUC